rnacentral:tRNA from 1 species
GUCGGAGUGGCGGAAUCUGGUAGACGCGCAUGGUUGAGGGCCAUGUGCCCGCAAAGGGCGUGGGGGUUCAAGUCCCCCCUCCGACA